UCACGACGUGAGCACCGCCAUCCCUAGAAUUUCGCGGAGCGGACGAAGAAGGUCGCAUCGAUGCCAGUCAUCCCUCAUCCGCGACGACGAGGCCGGAGAAGAGCGCCCUGACGGCCGCCGGAGAAUGGAGGGCCCGGCCCAGGAGCGGAGAGCCCAUGGCUUUCCGGAAAUGAUAGCGUGACCCUCCUCUACCCUUUUCGUGCGGAUCGACGGGAGAAGGGAGAGAGGCCUAGAAACCACACGCGAGGUGUCAUCCUUUCUCGGGGACGCAGAAUGGCAUUCUUUCUAUAAGUUCUGGAACGAGGGAUUGGUUCGGGCAAGUGAAUGCCCCAGUUGCAGACUAAAUACCAUUUGCAUUAAAAAGGUUGAUGGGUCUUGAGGGGUUUUGUUGUGUGAAUUAGAGGGGCAAGCCAUACUUGCGGAUGAGUAUUGCGGCUCGACACCUCUAUAUGAUCCAGUGUCAUAGACGACGGCAGCAUCCAUCGAUGUAGCCCUCGACGACGCCGUGACGAGUGCCGGGUUCUGGCCGUGGUAGGGAAAGAGAGCCCAGUCCACCAGCAGCUCGAACCAAUGGCUGAACGGGAAUGGUAGUGUGACCCUCCUUUUCUCUUCCCUAGGGGAUCAACGGAAGAAUGGAGAAAUCGUAAGAAACCACACGUGAGGUACAUCGUCUUUUGUUGCGGAUGCAGAAUCACAAUCUUUCUUUAAUUGUUAGAAUUAGGGUUUAGUUUAAGUUAUUUGAAGCUCUGUGACUGAAUAACCUACUUGAAAUAAAAUUCCAUCUGCAUUAGAAAGAUUGUCGGGUCUUGAGGAAUUCUGUUGUGCGAACUAGAAGGGAGAAGUCAUACCUGCUGACAAGUAUUGUGCCCAUGAUGGAGCCUUUAAAGCCCACUCGUGUACUGUCUUUCAGGAUCCAGAGUUAGGGGAUCUGGUGACAUUGUUGAGUAAAAAGGGGAAGGCAUUCAUAAACAGCUUAACAACAAUCCUGUCGAUAACCUACCUGAGUAAUGGAAGAUGAGAGUAGUAUCAGAAUGUAGACUUGUGAGAGGAAAUCUAUCGUAUACAAAAGAUGCUAGUUUAUUCAUGUACACGUUUAGUACAAGGAUGAUGGAAAGCAUAGAUGCUUUUUUAGGAAUUAAAAAUUGAUCAAUCUGAAUUGGGAUCAUCUUGGCACACAAUGUGAUAAAAGAUGGAGUGUU